rnacentral:rRNA from 1 species
GAUGAACGCUGGCGGCGUGCUUAACACAUGCAAGUCGAACGGACUUAUGUUGAAACCUAGUGAUAUAUAAGUUAGUGGCGGACGGGUGAGUAACGCGUGGGUAACCUGCCUCGUACAGGGGGAUAACACUUAGAAAUAGGUGCUAAUACCGCAUAAGCGCACAGCUUCGCAUGAAGCAGUGUGAAAAACUCCGGUGGUACGAGAUGGACCCGCGUCUGAUUAGCUAGUUGGUGAGGUAACGGCCCACCAAGGCGACGAUCAGUAGCCGGCCUGAGAGGGUGAACGACCACAUUGGGACUGAGACACGGCCCAAACUCCUACGGGAGGCAGCAGUGGGGAAUAUUGCACAAUGGGGGGAAACCCUGAUGCAGCGACGCCGCGUGAGUGAAGAGUAUUUCGGGUAUGUAAAGCUCUAUCAGCAGGAAGAAAAUGACGGUACCUGACUAAGAAGCCCCCGGCUAACUACGUG